rnacentral:tRNA from 1 species
GGUUCUAUGGUGUAAUGGUUAGCACACAGGACUUUGAAUCCUGCGAUCUGAGUUCGAUUCUCAGUAGAACCU